GAUGAACGCUAGCGGCAGGCCUAACACAUGCAAGUCGAGGGAGAAGCCCUUUCGGGGGCAGAAACCGGCGCACGGGUGCGUAACGCGUAUGCAACCUACCUUUCACAGGGGGAUAGCCCGAAGAAAUUUGGAUUAAUACCCCAUAAUAUUAUUGGAUGGCAUCAUUUGAUAAUUAAAACUGCGGUGGUGAAAGAUGGGCAUGCGUCCUAUUAGCUAGUUGGAGUGGUAACGGCACCCCAAGGCUACGAUAGGUAGGGGUCCUGAGAGGGAGAUCCCCCACACUGGUACUGAGACAGGGACCAGACUCCUACGGGAGGCAGCAGUGAGGAAUAUUGGGCAAUGGUCGGAAGACUGAACCAGCCAUGCCGCGUGCAGGAAGAAUGCCUUAUGGGUUGUAAACUGCUUUUAUAUGGGAAGAAUAAGGCGUACGUGUACGUUGAUGACGGUACCAUAUGAAUAAGCAGCGGCUAACUCCGUG
rnacentral:rRNA from 1 species